UCGGAAUUCCGUCGGAAUAUA
rnacentral:miRNA from 1 species